AAAUAAAAAUACAUUAAAUAAAGUCCAAAAUUUUAAACAAUCCAUGGCCCAAUUACAAUACCCAAAUGACCCAUCAACAAAAAUGAACCCAAGCCUAAGACCCAAAACAUAAUAUCCCUAAGCCCAAUUUAUGGCCCAACAUUUAGACACCCUCAGAAACCCUAGGUUACGCUAGGUGCGCCGCAACCUAGCCUCCGUACGGCCUCCAGCUCGCCUCUGUACCCACUGCUCCAUGUCACCAGUCGUACCUGCAAGUAAAAUAAAAGGACUAUGGCAGCAAUAAUAGAAAAACAGCAGAGCAAAAAAGAAAAAAAGUUUGUAUUUUUUACAUUAUUUUUUUCUCUCGGCUAUAAAGCCCAAGAGAAAUAACCCCUUAAUUUUAAAAUAAUCCCUUAAUUUUUUCUCUCGGACUAUGAAAGCACGGCCUUUUUAUUAAAAUAACCCCUUAAUUUUAAUUAAGUACCAAAAUGACCCACUUUUUUAAUUAAACACUAAAAUGACUUGAAAUUUACAGUAAAAUUUGGUGGAGCCAAAUUAUAUGGCGCCACCAACUUCCCACAUCAGCAGGGAGCAUAAAAAAUUAAUUUUUGGGUGGAGCCGUGUGGAAUGGCGCCACCUGUAUAAAUAUUAGGAAAAUACUAGAAAUUUUUGAAAACAUGAGAGGACUUCAAAAAAAUUAACCAUUUUUCUGGUGGAGCCAACUUAAAUGGCACCACUAAAUUCUGCCAUGUCAGUCCUUUUUUUUUACUUUUCUUUUGUCUUUUUUUCUUAUUUAUUUAUUUUAUUUUAUUUAUUAUUAUUAACUUUAAAAAUUUUGAAAUAUAUAUUUGAAAUAUUUUAUUAAUAUAUAUUUUUAAAAUUUUAAAUAUAUAUUUUGAAAUUACUUUUUUAAAUUUUAAAUAUUUAAAUAUUUUAAACUUUCAAAUUUGUUAUUAGUUUUAUAAUAAUUUAAAUAUUAUUUAAUUUGUUUUAUAAUAUUUUAAAUGAUGAUUUUUAAAUUAUUUUUAAAGAUAUUCAAACCAUUUUUUAAAUUCUAUUUAAAAGUUAAAAAUAAUAUUUUAUUUUAAAAAGUGAAAUUUGAAUUAAUAAAAAAUUUUAAAAAUAUUUUUCAUUUUCUAGAAAUACUGCAAGUUUUGAAAAAAUGGGGACUUAAAAAUAAUUUUUUUAACUCUCCUAUUGGAAUAUAUUUUUUAAUUUUUUAUUAGUUCAAAUUUCACUUUUUAAAAUAAAAUAUUAUUUUUAACUUUUAAAUAGAAUUUAAAAAAUGGUUUGAAUAUCUUUAAAAAUAAUUUAAAAAUCAUCAUUUAAAAUAUUAUAAAACAAAUUAAAUAAUAUUUAAAUUAUUAUAAAACUAAUAACAAAUUUGAAAGUUUAAAAUAUUUAAAUAUUUAAAAAUAAUAUUUAAAAUUUUAAAAAGUAAUUUCAAAAUAUUUAUUUAAAAUUUAAAAAAUAUAUAUUAAUAAAAUAUUUUAAAUAUAUAUUUAAAAAUUUUUAAAGUUAAUAAUAAUACAUAAAAGAAAAGAAAAGAAAAAAAGACAAAAGAAAAGUAAAAAAAAAAAACAAGGACUGACAUGGCAGAAUCUGGUGGCGCCAUUUAAGUUGGCUCCACCAGAAAAAUGGUUAAUUGUUUUGAAGUCCUCCAUGUUUUCAAAAAUUUCAGUAUUUCCUUGAUAUUUAUACAGGUGGAGCUAUUCUACAUGGCUCCACCCAAAAAUUAAUUUUUUAUGCUCCCUGCUGACGUGGCAAGUUGGUGGCGCUAUAUAAUUUGACUCCACCAACUUUUACUGUAGAUUUCAGGUCAUUUUGGUAUUUAAUUAAACAAGUGGGUCAUUUUGAUACUUAAUUAAAAUUAAGGGGUUAUUUUAAUAAAAAGGCCAUGAACGCACACAAGCAAAUCAAUAAAACAAAAACUGAAGUUUAAAAGGUUUUUUGUUGGUUCUUUUCUCAUUUUCUUUUAUUGUCUGUUUAUUGUAUUUCCUUUUUUUUAGCAAAUCUAUUUUAAAAUAAACUAAAGGGGAAGGAGGAGAGACUCACUUGAUUUCCCCGCGGUUGCGACGCCGGUGGGUCUUUCUUCGUCAUCGAAAUCAAACCCAAAAGGGAGUCAAGCUCUAUCUCCUUUCGAUUCUUCGGGUUUUGGUGGCUUAGCCUUCAAAGGCGCUUCAAAGCGGGGCUAAAAAGUCCCUUUCGCUCAACGCCAGCCAUUGGCCAUGACUGCAGCGCGGUGGACUGCCAAGAACCCUUUCGGCCGGAGACAAGAGGAAAGGAUGAGAGGGUUUCAAAGGUUUUCUUUUAGUUUUUUUUUAAGGAGGGUUG
rnacentral:lncRNA from 1 species